CGUGUAGGCGGUUUAAUAAGUCAGAUGUAAAAGCCCCCGGCUUAACCGGGGAUGGUCAUUUGAAACUGUUAGGCUUGAGUGCGAGAGAGGGUAGUGGAAUUCCCAGUGUAGCGGUGAAAUGCGUAGAUAUUGGGAAGAACACCAGUAGCGAAGGCGGCUACCUGGCUCGACACUGACGCUAAGGCGCGAAAGCGUGGGGAGCAAACAGGAUUAGAUACCCUGGUAGUCC
rnacentral:rRNA from 1 species